ACGAACGUCACUUCGGGCAUGUUCGGUAGUCCUAAAAAUUCCUGUUUCAGGAAUUUUGUCCUGGCUAACGUACUAAAUCUGUCAACGUCGCAUACUUUUCAAUCUUGUUUUGUUUUGGAAUUUGACAAGAUUAACCUCAGAAAAAGUUUAAAAUUAUAAUUUUUAUGAACAUUGACGAAUAAUGUUAUGAAUAAUGUAAUAGAACCUGAUAUAAAAUAAUCCGGAAAUAUUUACAAAUAAAGCAUAAACAAAAUGAAAGUGAUAGCAACACGAUUACCUUUGAUAAUGUGUUUUUUAUAUAAGAAUACGUCUACAUGGGUUGAAAUCUCAGAAAAUAUUAAGCUAUCCACAAAUUCCUGAAAAUAAAUUAGCCGUGAUUUGCGGAAAAAAUGUUCUUAAUUAUUUUUCCCACAUGAUGUCCUUUCAGGUUCCAGGAAACAGCACGGGCAUGUAUUAGGCAUAAUAAGUAAUUAUAAAAAUAUGAGCAAAAAUGAGAUGGUUUAAAAGAGUGAAAAUUUUAAGGUUAAGAAAUCUGAAACUCAAAGGAAAACUGAUUAAAAACUGAUAAAUAAGUACCGUUAAACUGGAAAAGCAAACUACUAUACGCAUAAUACAAAAGACAAUUUAUCAUCUUUAAAACCAUAAGGCAUAUGAUAUAUGAGAUAGGUAGCACAAGGACAUAUCGGCAAGCCUUAGGUUGGUGUUUACGCGUGUAGGUGUGAAUCGCUAUGGUGAUCUGGUCGGAGAUAGAAAAAUAUAAAAUAUUUAUUACAUAACCACACUUAAUCUGAUGAUUUCCUAUGCAUUCAAUACCAAGUUCAAUACAUCUGAUUGUAAUAAGCAUAUUGGCCAUACUCUUCAUAUACAU